rnacentral:tRNA from 1 species
GGGCGCUUAGCUCAGCGGGAGAGCGCUUCCCUGACACGGAAGAGGUCACAGGUUCAAUCCCUGUAGCGCCCACCA